rnacentral:rRNA from 1 species
UACGAAGGGGGCGAGCGUUGUUCGGAAUUACUGGGCGUAAAGGGCGCGUAGGCGGCCGAUCAAGUCAGAUGUGAAAGUCCUGGGCUUAACCUGGGGACUGCAUUUGAUACUGAUUGGCUUGAAUGCAGGAGAGGAUAGCGGAAUUCCCAGUGUAGAGGUGAAAUUCGUAGAUAUUGGGAAAAACACCGGUGGCGAAGGCGGCUCACUGGACCGGAACUGACGCUGAGGCGCGAAAGCGUGGGGAGCAAACAGG